AUUGAACGCUGGCGGCAGGCCUAACACAUGCAAGUCGAACGGUAGCGGGAAGGAGCUUGCUUCUUUGCCGACGAGUGGCGGACGGGUGAGUAAUGUCUGGGAAACUGCCCGAUGGAGGGGGAUAACUACUGGAAACGGUAGCUAAUACCGCAUAACGUCUUCGGACCAAAGUGGGGGACCUUCGGGCCUCACACCAUCGGAUGUGCCCAGAUGGGAUUAGCUAGUAGGUGGGGUAAUGGCUCACCUAGGCGACGAUCCCUAGCUGGUCUGAGAGGAUGACCAGCCACACUGGAAAUGAGACACGGUCCAGACUCCUACGGGAGGCAGCAGUGGGGAAUAUUGCACAAUGGGCGCAAGCCUGAUGCAGCCAUGCCGCGUGUAUGAAGAAGGCCUUCGGGUUGUAAAGUACUUUCAGCAGGGAGGAAGGCGAUGCGGUUAAUAACCGCGUCGAUUGACGUUACCCGCAGAAGAAGCACCGGCUAACUCCGUGCCAGCCGCCGCCGUAA
rnacentral:rRNA from 1 species